CGGAUAAAAGGUACUCCGGGGAUAACAGGCUGAUACCGCCCAAGAGUUCAUAUCGACGGCGGUGUUUGGCACCUCGAUGUCGGCUCAUCACAUCCUGGGGCUGAAGUAGGUCCCAAGGGUAUGGCUGUUCGCCAUUUAAAGUGGUACGCGAGCUGGGUUUAGAACGUCGUGAGACAGUUCGGUCCCUAUCUGCCGUGGGCGCUGGAGAACUGAGGGGGGCUGCUCCUAGUACGAGAGGACCGGAGUGGACGCAUCACUGGUGUUCGGGUUGUCAUGCCAAUGGCACUGCCCGGUAGCUAAAUGCGGAAGAGAUAAGUGCUGAAAGCAUCUAAGCACGAAACUUGCCCCGAGAUGAGUUCUCCCUGACUCCUUGAGAGUCCUGAAGGAACGUUGAAGACGACGACGUUGAUAGGCCGGGUGUGUAAGCGCAGCGAUGCGUUGAGCUAACCGGUACUAAUGAACCGUGAGGCUUAACCUU
rnacentral:rRNA from 1 species